rnacentral:misc_RNA from 1 species
AAUAUAAAAUAUCAGUGCGUUACUGUACAACAAACGAAGCAGGCCCAAAAAGUUUAAAAUAAACACACACAAUUUACGCUUCAUUAGUCAAAUGAAAUGAUCCUCACGUUUCCUGAACAUUAUAUAGGUUUUUACUUCUUUAAUAUAUGGUGCUCGAUCACUAAUCCUACAAAAUUCUUAGUAAUGAAUCCACUGCCAUUGCUUCCAACAACCACCAGCCUCCAUGGCCACCACCAAAAACCUCUAACAAUCCCAAAUUCAGCAUAUGUUCAAAAUCAU